rnacentral:lncRNA from 1 species
UCGACUAAGUCUGUUGCUACAGCACCUUAACAGACCCAUGAUACUAUACAAUGAUAAGAACUAAACUAUCAAAACACAGAAUCAAAAAGAGGUACAGCUGAAGCACAAAUAACUGGUACUAUACUUUAAACUUUCUGCUUCUCAUUUCACUUUUCAAAUCCAACUUCUCAACCAAUAGGGCUUAAAAGUGUGCACCUGGAUAUCGAGAGAAAUCAAAGAAAAUGAGGACUUAGCAGCAGUAACAGAGCAUAUGAACCAGCAGCUCCAAAACACAAACAGGCUCAAAUCUUAAACCAUUUUUACCCAGCAAAACAGAAGUUCUUCGAAGUUUUGAAUUCCAGUUAAUGCUUAAAACUAAAGAGCAAAUUUGGAACCAAUUUUUAACCCAAAAGAUGCAGAAAUAUCAAUGAACUCUCUCAGCCAUUUUUUUGAUUUUUCUGGUGUUCUCCUAGAGUGUGAUACCAAGCAGUGUUUGACCCCAAAUUAAUGCAGAGAAUUUUCAGUCUUUUAGGGUGUGUCCCCCGUGUGUUGAGUGAAAUAAAAAGCUUCAUUUAUAAGGCUGGGGGCUGUUGUGUGCCUUCCAAGGCAAGGCAAUCAGCUUUUCCCCAAAAUACCCUCACAGAGCAUCUUUUAAAACUGAUUUUUGGACAGUUGUCCUUUUCCUUCAGAUAUUUUCAAUUUUCUAGCCUGUCUCUCUUAACAAAUCUGGGCAGUUGUCCAUUUAGGAAGCUUCCCCAAUUGGUUACCAAAGAUUCCCAAGCUAACCAAUCUCCAGAACUACCCUUAAAGUUCCUAAUUAUACAUUUACCCCCCUCCCCUCCCCUACCCCCCCCCCCCCCCCCGAGUUCUGAAUGCUCACAAUCAUAAUAAAUAGUAGGCAAACGAGCUGACACUUUCAACCAGACUGAAAUUCAAAAAUAUUGUUGAAUCAUAUGAAAUCAUGAAGAAUUAGCCUGAAUUAAUCCUAAGAUCCUUCACACACAUAAACAUGAACUCAGAAAAUGCUCUUGAAAGCAGGAAUUAAUGCAGGCGAGGAACUAUACUUGACUAAUCUCAAAGCUUCAGUUCUAGAAUUAAUUCACAAACAUAAAAUGAAAUCUAGCCAAAAGAAGAGAAACUCACGAAUUGAAAACAAAUCAAACUCGAACCCUAUGAAAUCGAUUGUCAUUAACAAUUUAUCAAACAAGUUAACUAAUGAACUAGAAACAUAAUGCAAUUAAAUAAGAAAUGAAACUUCUGAAGAAAGAAAACUAGACAAACAAACAAACAAACAAAAAGAAAAGAUCAAAUGGAAACCAGUCAACACAAAAUUAUUCCAAACCUGCUUCAACAAGAAACUGCAUGAACUCGAAUAACCUUUUGAAGAUGAAAGUGAACCUUUGACGGUCAUUAAUCGAUUGUCCUUAACAAAAGGCAAAUGAUUAAUGACGGUUUGGGUUCACUCAACCUUGCUGAACCAGAAAAUAACAUAGGGAGAGACCUAGGGUGUUCCAUACCUCUGCUCCACCACUAACGGACUAGUUUGAGAGGAAACAAGAACAUAUUUGAGGAAGGAAGGAGAUGAGGGGUUUCGUGGUGUAAUUCUGGGCAGAUUUUGGGAAUUUUAAUGUUUUAGGCGAUGACCUUAAAUCUCAUAUUCAAGGCGACGGAGGGGGAUUUGAGAGGAAUUGUUUGGAGAUUUGGGAUGGGGAGGUGGAGGGGAGUUCAUGGUAUUAAUUUGGUAGUGAUUGGACCAUCGGAACCGCUUUGAGGCGAUUUCCGAUGGGCGGAGUAAGGCAGAGCAAGGUGGAGGCGAUGGGGAUUUAGGGCGGCGGUCUCUAGGGUUUGGGAGAGACACGAAAUGAGGGGGAAAUGGAAUGGUAGGGGAUAAGGGUCGU